ACGGCUGCCUUGGAGAUGCUGAAGAGAUGGAUUCAAGGGCAGCUAUCAGAACGAGGUCAGGUGGCUGACAUUUGAUAGCUCAACUAUGGUAUCCAUCUUCAGUGGUUACCAUUUACAAAUAUUGGUUAACU